AUUGAACGCUGGCGGCAGGCCUAACACAUGCAAGUCGAACGAGUGGCGGGAAGGUGAGUAAUGUCUGGGAAACUGCCCGAUUGAAGGGGGUAACUACUGGAAACGGUGACUACUACCGCGUACCAUCGGAUGUUACCAGAUGGGAUUAGUUUGUAGGUGGGGUAACGGCCCACCUAGGCGACGAUCCCUAGCUGGCCUGAGAGGAUGACCAGCCAAACUGGAACUGAGAAACGGUCAAGACCCCCACGGGAGGCAGCAGUGGGGAACUUUGCACAAUGGGCGAAAGCUUGAUGAAGACAGGCCGCGGGGAGGAAGCAGGCUUUCGGGUUGUAAAGUACUUUCAGCGGGGAGGCGUUACCCGCAGAAGAAGCACCGGCUAACUCCGUGCCAGCAGCCGCGGUAAUUC
rnacentral:rRNA from 1 species